GGAUUUAUCUACACCAUAAAUUAAUAUAAGAACUAACGAAGAUGGGAAAAGAAAUAAUCCUGUAAAUAACUGAAAAUCGAUUUUCAGUCAAGAACCUACCCAUCCCUCAUGACAAUCUCACUGGCUUGUCCUUACACUUGUUAACCUCCCUCAGCCGACAAGAAAACAGAGACAGAGAGAGAGAGCGAAGGGAAUCAGAGCCGACCGAGCUCUGGUCGUGCUCGACGCGUGGCCUCGACGUGUCCAACGCGGAGCUCGCCUUCUCCACUCCACUCUUCCAGCCGCGUCGUCCAUCUCCACUCCUCACUCCAGAGCCGACCAAACUGAGGGCUCCGUCGCCCUCAUCUCCAUCGCCGGCCACCGAGAAGACAAAGGUCGCCAACGCCAUGGAGCCGCGGUCGUUUCCUCUUCUUUUGCGUUCCUCAAUCUACUCUUGAUGCCGUCUCCGUUCCAUCUAAUUUCGUCCCAUUCCAUGCAGCGGUUAAACAGGAACGCGACCGCGCACUCCGACGCUCUGGAGCGCGCACCGAGUGCCACCGCUGCAUCACCAUCGUCGCGCCGGCCUCCGUGGACCAAAUCCGGCCGAGCCGUCGCGCCAUCAUCAUCACCACGACCUCCUCUUCGAAAUCCCUCAAGAAUCCCAGCCAAUGCCGCAACGUAGAGGGAGAUCGGCGUCGCCUACCUUAAGUCCAGCCGCCGGCCAUCGUCGUCCAUUCCUCGCUCUCGGCUCGAAGACCGAAGGAACGUCGACGCCGUCGCCAUGCCGAUUUCCGUUGCUGCCAGGUCGUCUUCUCCACUGUCACCGAUGUUCAGACCAAUCCAAGCUGCGGGUCUAGCUUCAAUGAGUACCCAAGAACCCAGUAGACACACAUGCAUGCACCCAUUCGCAUAGAAACGAGCCGGAGCUCGACAUGCCUUAGCAUGCCGAGAACCACCUUCGCUCGCACCAACGCCGUCGUCAAUUACGACCACCGUAGCUAGCAAGAUUACCACCAUUAGCUUCGCAAUGACCUGCUGCAUCUUUUUGCUUCUGGUCGCACCGCUGCGUUGUUGGGUUUAGUCCCACAUCGGUAAUUGAUGAUGGGGGAGCACGACUUAAAAAGUGGGGGCGAUCCUCACCCAUCAAACUAGUCUUUUGGUUGUGUA